UGUGGCUCAGUUGUUGAGUCCUUGCUUGAUGUGCAUGAGGCUCUGGGUUUGAUUCCCAGCA
rnacentral:tRNA from 1 species